UACUUUACAGUUUUGAUCUUUGCGUGUAAAAAGAAUGAAGAACUUGCAGCCAACUAUCUUCAAGAUCACAUGCACAAAUUUGAAGAAGAAUAAUGGAAGAAGAAACAGACCAAAUCCAUACCUUCUCCCCUCCUAAACUCAGAGAAUCAUCUUUUUGUUUCUUUCUUCUCCAGUGCAUUUGAUAACUUAAUUUCAUGUUUAUGUUCAUGUGUUUAUGUUACAGUUUGGAAACUUAUCAUAGCUUUUCUGUUUGAAGAUGUUUCUCCUCUUUCAUACGGAAUAUAAAAUUCAGCCCGUUCAGAUGAUUUUAAGUUCAGUUCAUCAACCAGUAUAUCGAAGUCCUACAACCAUCCACUUUUAAUCCAAUGUUUCAAGCGGAAUUUCCGAAUCAAAAUUGCUGACGUACAUCACCACAUACAGUUCAGGCUUUGAAAGUGGGACAGGAGCUGCCUUUUUUCCAUGAGAUGUUAGCCAAUCUCGGACUUCUAUCAUGGGGGGAGAAGCUGCUGUUGUGGUGGUAAGAGGAGCUUUAGACCAGAACUCUGUUGCAAAAGGACAGGAGAUGAACAAAUGAGAGAUAGAUUCCAACUCUCCACAUCUUUUGCAGCUAAGUUCUGACUGUAUUCCUCUAAUUGCGAGCAGAGAUCCCGCCGGGAGGGCAUUGUUCAAGAAUGCUUGAUUGAAUAACCUCCAUCCAGCAUCAGUAUGAAAGAAAGGCAGAACAUAUGCUUAUUCAGUCAAAUCUCAGUGCCACUAAGGCAUCAUUAAAGACAUCAAAUUAUGAAGAGCAUCUAGAGGCCAGUGGAGAGGCUGUCGAAUCUCGUCAACAUAAUGGGGACGACAAAUUUUAAAAUUAUAAACGGAUUAUUCGUUUGAUUUUCCUGUCGUUUGAGUUC